AACGCAUAUGGCACCCUUUCGCAAGGAAGGGUAUACCUGUUUGAGAAUUGGAUACAUAAACUUUGUCAGGGCAUCUGGCAGACGUGGUCAUGCAAUAAGAGAGUGUCGAUGUGUCAGUGUAGAGUCCAUAGUGGAUAGAGUCCAUGGUGGAUGAGCAUUGCAUUGACACACUCCUCUCGUUGCUUGACUGAAAUGAAUCGUUGAAAGAAGACUAUAUAUGAGGGUGGUCGGGAGACAAUAGACAGUGAGCCUUGGCUCUAGACAAUUUGUAUUCCGCCGCUUGAUCAACUUCAAUCUCAAAUCAGGCAAGACUACCCGCUGAACUUAA
rnacentral:misc_RNA from 1 species